GGCGAACGCUGGCGGCGUGCUUAACACAUGCAAGUCGAACGGAAAGGCCCUGCUUUUGUGGGGUGCUCGAGUGGCGAACGGGUGAGUAACACGUGAGUAACCUGCCCUUGACUUUGGGAUAACUUCAGGAAACUGGGGCUAAUACCGGAUAGGAGCUCCUGCUGCAUGGUGGGGGUUGGAAAGUUUCGGCGGUUGGGGAUGGACUCGCGGCUUAUCAGCUUGUUGGUGGGGUAGUGGCUUACCAAGGCUUUGACGGGUAGCCGGCCUGAGAGGGUGACCGGCCACAUUGGGACUGAGAUACGGCCCAGACUCCUACGGGAGGCAGCAGUGGGGAAUAUUGCACAAUGGGCGGAAGCCUGAUGCAGCAACGCCGCGUGCGGGAUGACGGCCUUCGGGUUGUAAACCGCUUUCGCCUGUGACGAAGCGUGAGUGACGGUAAUGGGGAAAGAAGCACCGGCUAACUACGG
rnacentral:rRNA from 1 species